UAAUACGGGGGGAGCAAGCGUUGUUCGGAUUUACUGGGCGUAAAGGGCGCGUAGGCGGCCACCGCAAGUCAGUUGUGAAAUCUCUGGGCUUAACCCAGAAAGGUCAACUGAUACUGCGGGGCUAGAGUGCAGAAGGGGCAACUGGAAUUCUCGGUGUAGCGGUGAAAUGCGUAGAUAUCGAGAGGAACACCUGCGGCGAAGGCGGGUUGCUGGGCUGACACUGACGCUGAAGCGCGAAAGCUAGGGGAGCGAACGGGAUUAGAUACCCCGGUAG
rnacentral:rRNA from 1 species